rnacentral:rRNA from 1 species
CGGACGGGUGAGUAAUGUCUGGGAAACUGCCUGAUGGAGGGGGAUAACUACUGGAAACGGUAGCUAAUACCGCAUAACGUCGCAGGACCAAAGAGGGGACCUUCGGGCCUCUUGCCAUCAGAUGUGCCCAGAUGGGAUUAGCUUGUUGGUGGGGUAACGGCUCACCAAGGCGACGAUCCCUAGCUGGUCUGAGAGGAUGACCAGCCACACUGGAACUGAGACACGGUCCAG